GCAUAGCUCAGUACGUAGGGCAUGAGGCUCUUAAUCUCAGAGUUGUGGGUUCGAACCCUACAUUUGGCA